GGGACCCGUCUUGAAACACGGACCAAGGAGUCUAGCAUGUGCGCGAGUCAUUGGGAUUUUUACUAAACCUAAAGGCGCAAUGAAAGUGAAGGUCCGCCUUGCGCGGACCGAGGGAGGAUAGACCGUACCGAGGUACGGCCUCGCACUCCCGGGGCGUCUCGUUCUCAUCGCGAGAAGAGGCGCACCCAGAGCGUACACGCUGGGACCCGAAAGAUGGUGAACUAUGCCUGGUCAGGACGAAGUCAGGGGAAACCCUGAUGGAGGUCCGUAGCGAUUCUGACGUGCAAAUCGAUCGUCGGAACUGGGUAUAGGGGCGAAAGACUAAUCGAACCAUCUAGUAGCUGGUUCCCUCCGAAGUUUCCCUCAGGAUAGCUGGCGCUCGCUUCUCGCGAGUCUCAUUCGGUAAAGCGAAUGAUUAGAGGCAUUGGGGUCGAAACGGCCUCAACCUAUUCUCAAACUUUAAAUGGGUGAGAUCUCCGGCUUGCUUGAACUGUGAAGCCGCGAGAUAUCGGAUCAGAGUGCCAAGUGGGCCACUUUUGGUAAGCAGAACUGGCGCUGUGGGAUGAACCAAACGCAGAGUUAAAGCGCCUAAAUCGACGCUUAUGGGAUACCAUGAAAGGCGUUGGUAACUUAAGACAGCAGGACGGUGGCCAUGGAAGUCGGAAUCCGCUAAGGAGUGUGUAAA
rnacentral:rRNA from 1 species